rnacentral:misc_RNA from 1 species
AGCCGUAGGGGAACCUGCGGCUGGAUUACCUCCUUAUUUAUAGACUUGAAGUUGCUUAAGUGUUCACACAAAUUGCUUGAUGAUUUUAUUGUUUAGUGAGAAUGAUAUUUGUUCUUUAACGAUGUGGUAAAAAGUAUAAGUAAAGAUUCCUUGAUUAAUUUAGGGUUAUUUUUAGUUUAGGUUGAGAUGUAUUUUUAUCUCUUGAUUGAUUAUUAGAAAUGUUUUUAGUUUAUUUAUUAACGACUCUUGGUGAUUUUGAAACCGGUGUUAGAUAUGUUUUGAUUGGUAUUAGUGAAUAGUUUUGAUCUAUUGAUAUAGACUUUUUGGGGUUAUAUGAUCAAGUGAAUAAGUGCAUACGGUGGAUGC